rnacentral:snRNA from 1 species
AGCCGUGUGGUGAGCACAGAGCGAACUAUUCUUUCGCCUUUUACUAAAGAAUACCGUGUGCUCGCCAUUUUAAGCGGCAUACGCCAAUUUUUGGGAGGGUGUUCCAUUGUGAAUGCC